GUUUGAUCCUGGCUCAGAUUGAACGCUGGCGGCAUGCUUUACACAUGCAAGUCGAACGGUAGACCCUUUCGGGGGUUGAGAGUGGCGAACGGGUGAGUAAUGCAUCGGAACGUGCCUAGUCGUGGGGGAUAACGUAGCGAAAGUUACGCUAAUACCGCAUACGCACUGAGGUGGAAAGCGGGGGACCGUAAGGCCUCGCGCGAUUGGAGCGGCCGAUGUCGGAUUAGCUAGUUGGUGAGGUAAAGGCUCACCAAGGCGACGAUCCGUAGCGGGUCUGAGAGGAUGAUCCGCCACACUGGGACUGAGACACGGUCCCAGACUCCUACGGAGGCAGCAGUGGGGAAUUUUGGACAAUGGGCGCAAGCCUGAUCCAGCCAUGCCGCGUGCGGGAAGAAGGCCU
rnacentral:rRNA from 1 species